rnacentral:rRNA from 1 species
GACGAACGCUGGCGGCGUGCUUAACACAUGCAAGUCGAACGGAGUUCCUUGGAUAGAGGCUUCGGCCAAUUGAAUUGGAACUUAGUGGCGGACUGGUGAGUAACGCGUGAGGAACCUGCCUUUCAGAGGGGGACAACAGUUGGAAACGACUGCUACUACCGCAUGACACAUUCGGGCGGCAUCGCUUGAAUGCAAAAGAUUUUAUCGCUGAAAGAUGGCCUCGCGUCUGAUUAGCUAGUUGGUAGGGUAACGGCCUACCAAGGCGACGAUCAGUAGCCGGACUGAGAGGUUGACCGGCCACAUUGGGACUGAGAUACGGCCCAGACUCCUACGGGAGGCAGCAGUGGGGAAUAUUGGGCAAUGGACGCAAGUCUGACCCAGCAACGCCGCGUGAAGGAAGAAGGCUUUCGGGUUGUAAACUUCUUUUAAGUGGGAAGAGUAGAAGACGGUACCACUUGAAUAAGCCACGGCUAACUACGUGCCAGCCGCCGCAGUAACAC